rnacentral:rRNA from 1 species
UACGUAGGGGGCUAGCGUUGUCCGGAAUCAUUGGGCGUAAAGAGCGUGUAGGCGGUCCGGUAAGUCCGCUGUGAAAGUCGGGGGCUCAACCCUCGAAUGCCGGUGGAUACUGUCGGGCUUGAGUACGGAAGAGGCGAGUGGAAUUCCUGGUGUAGCGGUGAAAUGCGCAGAUAUCAGGAGGAACACCUAUUGCGAAGGCAGCUCGCUGGGACGUUACUGACGCUGAGACGCGAAAGCGGGGGGAGCAAACAGG